AACGAACGCUGGCGGCAUGCCUAACACAUGCAAGUCGAACGAGACCUUCGGGUCUAGUGGCGCACGGGUGCGUAACGCGUGGGAAUCUGCCCUUGGGUACGGAAUAACAGUUAGAAAUGACUGCUAAUACCGUAUAAUGACUUCGGUCCAAAGAUUUACCGCCCAGGGAUGAGCCCGCGUAAGAUUAGCUAGUUGGUGAGGUAAAGGCUCACCAAGGCUACGAUCUUUAGCUGGUCUGAGAGGAUGAUCAGCCACACUGGGACUGAGACACGGCCCAGACUCCUACGGGAGGCAGCAGUGGGGAAUAUUGGACAAUGGGCGAAAGCCUGAUCCAGCAAUGCCGCGUGAGUGAUGAAGGCCUUAGGGUUGUAAAGCUCUUUUACCCGGGAUGAUAAUGACAGUACCGGGAGAAUAAGCCCCGGCUAACUCCGUGCCAGCCGCCGCCGUAA
rnacentral:rRNA from 1 species